UAGACUAAACUUUCAGGGAUUAUUUCUAUAAUUUCUACAGUUUAUUACCAGCCAAGUUUCCUUGAUUAUGUAGAGCACCUAAAACCAUGAUAAUGAGCAGGAGCAUCCCCUCCUGAGCAUGAAGCUGGUUUUAGGUGUUGCUCUUGUGACUGCCUUUUACAAUUUAUGAUCAUUCUUCUCUUUCUUUGCAAGAGGGAGAGGGAAAGGAUGUAGUCUGAGUGGU